GUUCGGGGAGGAUUCCGAGGGUUUCAGCUGUUGACGCUUUACGCGUUGCGGGCGCACGUCGGGCCGCUGUUUCCCGAGGGAAGGCAGGUGUGCCUCUGCGUUACAGGGAAAGGCACUUAGAACUGUCUGAGUGGCCCCGUAAGCCAGCGAGGGCGCAUUUCCCGGCGCGGACGGGCUGCUGGUGGUUUUGGUGGCUGCUCUCCGGAGGCACACCUGGCACGUCGAAGGGGGGCUUUAUAUGGCUGUAUUUGACUUGGCAAUUCCUGCUGAACAAAUAAUUUUUCAUGGCGGUCGUGUCUGUUCAAACCGGCACGGUCUGAUCCGGAAAUAUGGCCUCAAUAUGUGCCGCCAGUGUUUCCGUCAGUACGCGAAGGAUAUCGGUUUCAUUAAGUUGGACUAAAUGCUCUUCCUUCAGAGGAUUAUCCGGGGCAUCUACUCAAUGAAAAACCAUGAUAAUUCUUUGUAUAUAAAAUAAACAUUUGAAAAAA
rnacentral:lncRNA from 1 species